GAUUUACGCCCACACAAAUUAUACUUCGUAAGUUAUUUUCUUUUAAUGUAUUGAAUUUUUUAUGUGUUUUUGAUCUUUACUUGAUUCUCAGUUGUGAGGGUUGGGUUGCCGGAUUGUUUUCUCAAAAUACUUUGAAGACAGUGUUUUGAGAUGCUUGGCGAUUGAAUCGAUUCCAAAGUCCUUGUGAAGAUCAAUGUUAGUUACGUACCAUGGCUUAGCCGUGGCCGUGCGUAAGAAACGAUUCUGCAAUGCUUGCAGACGUUGGAUGUAGGCGUGAUUGCAGUGGGCGAAGGCUGAACUCGCGUAGGUCAUGAUAGGACGAACGCAGAGUUUGUACAAUGUCGUCUUAUUUCUAAGGAGUAAUUCUACCUGAGCGUCCCCAUUCUAUGCUAAUCGUCGUCUCUGAAAUAGACACGUAUCUGAGAAGUGAAUGUAACAUCCCGCCAACCCCCAUCCUGUGCGUAGAAGGGUUGCGAAUGACGUUGCAUUUUGGUUUUUCCUUAGUAGUGAUAAAGGAAGAAAAUCUACCUCCACUGAAAUGGAAAUUGGGACGAAUUGUUGCCGUCCAUUCGGGGACCGAUGAUUUUUGUAAUAAUGUAGUGGUAAACGGAUUGAAAUGGGUUAGCUACUGAUACCUACUGAAGUAAACUGCGAGACAUAAAAUGGUAAGUGUUAGCCCAACAACAUUUGAUAUUAAAUUAUUAUUAUCUUUCACAUCUUUCCUUAUUACAAUACUGUCACGGACUAUGCUAAUAUUCCUAUAU
rnacentral:misc_RNA from 1 species